CUGGGGCACCAGGCCCAGCACGGCCAGCGGGGCCAGGGAGGGAUUGUCCUGCUCUGCUCUGGGGGCCUCACCUCGAGUGCUGUGGGCAGGUUUGGGCAGCACAGUGUAAGGAAGAUCUCAAAGUGCCAGAGAGAGCCCAGAGGAGGCCACGAGGAGAGCGAAGGCCGUGAGGGGAAGGCGUGUGAGGAGCUGCUGAGGGCACUGGCUCUGGGCAGGGAGAGGAGGAGGCUGAGGGGACUCAUUGCAGUCUGCAGCUCCCUGGUAUCAAGGCAUCAAAACCAAAAUAGUGCAGUAGAAGAGAGCUUGCCAGGGUCCUGAUGCUGAAGAUUUUCUUGACAUGAAGGUCAAGGUCUGGUGUAAACAAAUGUUGUUCUUGGUGCAAGGACAAAGCCAGCUGGCAUCUCCACACUUGCUUUGCUCCAAGGUUUUUGCACGACAAACCAGACUCUGUCUGCCCAAUAAUGAGGGAAAGAGGAAGAGGUGCAAGGAAUCUCUAUUGUAUUAUUGUGUUAUUUGGUUUGGGCUGGUACAUUGGAGGAUAAUAUGGAUGGAAAUGCCACCUUUUCUACAGCUGCUGGUAAAAGUGAUGGUAUCUGUUAAAAUACAUAGCUUCUCAGAUGGCUGAGAACUGUUUUAUUUCAGGUUGAAAUCUGGCACUGGAAGUGCUAAUGAGUAUAUUUCUUCUGGUAUUCAUCUGUGACUAAUUGGUGAAUAAAUUACUAUAUUGCUAGCAUGAAACUGUAUUAUUUAUGUUUCUGGGUUUUUUUUGUAAAGAUGUGAGUCAUGAAUAAAUAGUGACAAUAAAUUUUGUUUGGUGUAAAGUCAAUAACUAACUGAAGUACUGGAGCUAGAUGUUUGUACAGAGUGUUGAACUAACAGGAAUGUGUGUGUUUUUAGGCAGGAGCUCCAUAAAUACCUAGGAAAUUGCUUUUUAAAAGUACCUGAUAAAUUUCAAUGCCUCAUUGAACCUUUAUGACCCAAGGACUUGCAGAGAAAUACUUCAUAUUUUCAGGAAAUCUGCCUACAUACACAAAGAUUGUGAAAUUACAAUAGAGAAGUCCACCUUUUUUUGACCCAGACCUUCAAAUGACAAGAAUUUUAUUUCCACUACCCUUCCCCAUUUGUUAUUAAAAGGAGAUAGCUAAAAUACAUGCAAGUAUUGAUAUACACUUCCAAAGGUAAAGAUUUUUUUUUUCAUUAAAGCCAUUUCCCUACAAAUAUGUAAAAAAAAAAAAUAAUUCUGUUAUAUCUGUGUUAUAUUUCCGAAGGAUACCAAAUUGUAUCAAAAAUCACUGUCCAAGUGGAGAGGUAAUAUAGAACUGUAUCCCUGAGCUGCACUUAUAUUUGUCACAGGUGCACUGGAGACCUUGAGGAAGCCCUGCUGGAGGUUUCUCUCAGCUCCUUAGCUCUAGUUUUGCUGAUAUCUGUUUAGGUGGUAAAUAUUCAAGAAAUAUUCUGUCUAGGGAUAUAUACACCAACCUGAGUCUUGUUCUCAGGGCACUUUGGCAAUAUGAAUAGCAGUCUGUAGCCUGGGAAGCAAGGCACAUUUUCCCUUUGCAGCAUAAUGGCACUUGAAAUUCCUCUGCUGUCCCAGGUUAGAUGUGUGCAGACUCAGCAGCACGAGGAGAUGCUGCAGAAAUGUCUUUACGUAUGCUGAGGGUUUGUGGCUGCUUCCACAGCCAUGUAAAUCAGAAGUAACUUCUGAAAUCAAUUUUAUGUACUGGUGUAUAACUGUGGGAGAGAGAAAAAGAUUUACUUUGAAAAAUGAGAAUGGCAGCUUGCUUAAUGUUUCUUUCCCUUGCCUUAAAAAACAAAAUGUGUUGAUGAUGUUCGUCUAAUGGGCUCUAAAGGCUCAGCCCUUAAAAUUAGCAGGUUCAUCAAUAAAAAAAUUGUUCCUAGCAAGGGAGAACUGCCAAAAAAUAUACUUAAUUUAUGGUACAAAUAAAGAAAUACUGUUGUAAUAAACAAAUUAGUCUUUCCAUUCAAUUAUGCACUUAGUGUUAUGGGUGCUAUAAUCUCAAAGUUGUUUCUAGAUUAUAUUUUGUUUAUUUCCUGUUGGAUCAUACAAAUACUACAAAAUAAUUUUAGUUUAAAAUGGUUGAGUACUGUCAGAAUAAAACUUGCCUUCAGUCUUUCUCCUGUUAA